rnacentral:lncRNA from 1 species
ACUUCUUCAGAACACUUACCAAAUACUCAUGCAGAUUGUUGAAGCCAUGCCUUCCAGACCUCUGGGUUAGGUUCCAGUCUACCACAAUAACUGUCACAACAAAGCGUGGUACAUAAAUGCUUUGUUUUUCUCUGUUUUAUAGGUUAUAUUUACACUAAAUUAGAAUAUUUGUUGUGCAAUAGCCCGUCAAGAAAGCAGUGUGCAUCCCUUAGUUGAGAAUUGAGCUAGUGAUAGGUUCGUCGGUAAAGGCACAAGCCUGCUGGCCUGGGGUUGGUUGGUCCCUGGAACUCAGAUGGUGGAAGGAGAGCCAGCUUCCACCGACUACUACAUGCAUGACAUGGCACACGUGAAUCCUCCAUUUCCACACACAAAUAAAUGUAAUCUUUUAAAAUUAAAAUGUAGGGGGGAUCUGGCAAAAUGGGUCAGGAGGGGAAAGUCCGUGCUAAGCAAGAUUGAUCCGUUCAAUCCCUUGGACCCCACGGUGGAGAGAACACUGAUCCUGAAGGUUGUCCUCUGACUUCCACACAUGCAUGUGUGCGCUCAAGUGCACACACACACUUUGGUUUAAAAAGGGUUUUUUGUUUUUGUUUUUUGAGGCAAAAGAGCAAUGCUGGAGGACUUGAGAGACAGCUCAGUGGUUAAGAGCACCAGCUGCUUUUCCAGAAGACCCAGGUUCCCUUCUCAACACCCACAUGACAACUCACAACCCAAUGCCAUGGGUCCUGAUACUCUCUCCAGGCCCUUGGCAACACGUACGUAUGUGGUAUAUGGUGCCACAGACAGGCAAAAAGUCUUACAAAAAAAUAAAAAGUGCUGAAGAGUCAUAAUACUCAAUGCCACAGUGUGUACCGCCAUAGUAACAGAAACAGCAUGGUCCCACAUAGAAAUACACAUUGGGGAAAAGAUAGCCUUCUCUGCAAAACAUGCUAUGAAGGACGCAUAUCCAUACACAGAAGAGUGAACUAGGUCUCUUUCUCACUCCAUACACAAAAGUCAACUCAAUGGGCCAAAGACUUUAAGACCUGAGGCUCUGGCACUGCUGGAGGGACAUAGAAGAGAAAGACCUGCACAGGCGAGAGCUUUCUGAAUAGGAUUCCAGACGCCCAGAUAAUAACAGCUAGUGUUUGACAAAUGGUCUUGCACAAAAGUGAAAAGCAAAGGAGACGUCAGAAUGAAGGAGUAAAUGAGAUAUAUAACAGCAAACACCAACCCUCCAUAUCCAAUAAAACAGCAAAUGUAUUGAACAUACAAUCCUCAAAGUACAAGUGGA